rnacentral:rRNA from 1 species
CCUACGGGGGGCAGCAGUGGGGGAUAUUGCACAAUGGGGGAAACCCUGAUGCAGCGACGCCGCGUGAGUGAAGAAGUAUUUCGGUAUGUAAAGCUCUAUCAGUAGGGAAGAAAAUGACAGUACCUGACCAAGAAGCCCCGGCGAACUACGUGCCAGCAGCCGCGGUAAUACGUAGGGGGCCAGCGUUAUCCGGAUUUAAUGGGUGUAAAGGGAGCGUAGUCGGUUAUGUAAGUCUGGAGUGAAAGCCCCGGGUCCAACCCCGGGACUGCUUUGGAAACUGUGUAACUUGAGUUCAGGAGGGGCAGGCGGAAUUCCUGGUGUAGCGGUGAAAUGCGUAGAUAUCAGGAGGAACACCGGUGGCGAAGGCGGCAUGCUGGACUGAAACUGACGUUGAGGCUCGAAAGCGUGGGGAGCAAACAGGAUUAGAUACCCGAGUAGUC